GGCCCCGCACAAGCAGUGGAGCAUGCGGAUUAAUUCGAUGCAACGCGAAGAACCUUACCAAGGCUUGACAUAUAGAGGAAAAGUGCAGAAAUGCACUCCCCGCAAGGUCUCUAUACAGGUGGUGCAUGGUUGUCGUCAGCUCGUGUCGUGAGAUGUUGGGUUAAGUCCCGCAACGAGCGCAACCCUCGUCCUAUGUUGCCAGCACGUAAUGGUGGGAACUCAUGGGAUACUGCCGGGGUCAACUCGGAGGAAGGUGGGGAUGACGUCAAAUCAUCAUGCCCCUUAUGUCUUGGGCUUCACGCAUGCUACAAUGGCCGGUACAGAGGGCUGCCAAUACCGCAAGGUGGAGCGAA
rnacentral:rRNA from 1 species